GACGAGUCUCACGAACGUUAUUCGGAAUUACUGGGCUUAAAGGGUGCGUAGGCGGUGGAGUAAGUCGGAUGUGAAAUACCAUAGCUUAACUAUGGAACUGCACUCGAUACUACUUUGCUAGAGUAAGACAGAGGUGAGUGGAACUGAGGGUGGAGCGGUGAAAUGCGUUGAUAUCCUCAGGAACACCGGUGGCGAAGGCGACUCACUGGGUCUUUACUGACGCUGAUGCACGAAAGCGUGGGGAGCGAACAGG
rnacentral:rRNA from 1 species